GAUAGAUAGAUAGAUAGAGUAGCAGACAGGGAAGUACAAAAGUAUAAGAAUAGGCAGAAGUAAUAUAAACUAUUGGUGCUUUACUAUACUAGAGUAACAUGUUUCAUGGUUGUAUAUUUGUAGUUAUAAACAGAUAUGCGUUUGUGGAAAAUUAAUCUACAAUAAAAACAUCUGUUGCACAGCGAUGGUAUGCAUGUUGUCUUGAAGCCAUAUUUACUAUGGCAGAGAUGGCCAAAUGAGCAGCCGAUUAGUCUCUGUAGGGCAGUGGUUUCUAAUCCAAUAGCAAUCACUGCGUGGUUUUAAUCAGUGAGGUACUUCUGCAGAGCUUGUUGACAUGCUGAUCAUGUAAUUCAAGCUUUGAAUUGGAAGUGUUGGAGCAGACAAACAGUGAGGACCGCAGUGAGGCGUCCUGAAGAGAGAUGGGUUGUCUGUGGUGGGGAGCAGUUUGUGCAGAGACGACCUGUCUCUCAUGCCCUAGGACCAGAUUUCCAUGGUUUUCCUUAGGAUGAAGGUGGUGAAUUUGAAACAAGCCAUUUUGCAGGCGUGGAAGGAACGAUGGAGUGAUCACCAGUGGGCCAUCAACAUUAAAAAAAACUUCCCAAAGGGCCAAACAUGGGACUACCUUAAUUUUGCUGAGGCACUGAUGGAGCAGGCGAUGAUCGGUCCCUCUCCCAACCCGCUGAUUCUGUCUUACCUUAGAUAUGCUAUAAGCUCACAGAUGGUGUCCUAUUCCAGCGUACUAACAGCCAUCAGCAAGUUUGAUGGCUUUUCUCGGGAGCUGUGUGUCAUGUCAUUGUUGGAGAUAAUGGACAUGUUCUGCCAUCGUCUCAACUGUCACGGAAAAGCAGAGGACUGCAUCGGGCUGUGCCGGGCCCUGCUGGGGGUGCUCGUGUGGCUGCUGCAGGGCUGUGCGUUUUACUGCGAGAAGUUAAGAGAGCUGGGCCCGUCUCCCAGCAUCGAGGCCGCUCUCAAAGCCUGCCAGGAGAGGCUCCACCACCUGAUGAGCAGCACUAAGAUCAGAGCUCUGGUCCACAUUGCCCGACUGGAGGACCAAGGUUCCUGGGGUAACGCUGAACAAGCAGUGCUCAAGGUGUCUGACGGCCUUGUUAACGUGCCAAACCAAACACUCAGAGCUAAACUAGAGGAAAGCUUGUCUCUAGUUAAAAGCAUCCCGCUGAUGCUCUCGGUACAAAGUGACCCGCCAGUCCGUGCCUCUUUCCCAUCAGUUCAUGCUUUCAUCAUGCUGGAGGGGACCAUGAAUCUAACGGGGGAGAUCCAGCCCAUGGUGGAGCAGCUAAUGAUGAUCAAAAGAAUGCAGCGAAUCCCUGCUCCUCUUUUUAUCUUGGAGAUAUGGAAGGCGUGUUUCACCGGACUCAUCGAGUCACCAGAGGGCACAGAAGAGCUGAAAUGGACUGCCUUUACUUUCCUCAAAAUCCCACAAGUUCUGCUCAGACUAAAGAAGUAUCCUCAGAGUGAUAAAGGACAGGAUUUUGUUGAGGACGUGAACGCUGCGUUUCAGUUUUUACUUAAACUCACCCCGCUGUUGGACAAAGCAGAUCAGAGAUGCAACUGUGACUGCCUCAGCAUGCUUCUGCAGGAGUGCAACAAGCUGGGGCUGCUGUCAGACCCAAACACGGAGAACCUCACAUCCAAACGCACCGAGGACAGAGAGUUCUCCCCAAGGCUAAAAACAGCAGAAAAUGCAAACAUCCAACCGAACCCAGGCCUUAUCCUGAGAGCUGAGCCCACUGUCACCAAUAUUCUGAAGACGGUAGAUGCAGACCACUCAAAGUCACCCGAGGGUCUUCUAGGUGUUCUUGGACACAUGCUGUCAGGGAAGAGCCUGGAUCUGCUUCUGGCAGCGGCGGCGGCCACUGGAAAACUCAAAUCGUUUGCCAGGAAAUUCAUCAAGCUCAAUGAGUUUCCAAAGCACAUCAGUGGAGAAGGAUCUAAGUCUGCUUCUGUACGAGCCCUGCUUUUUGAUAUUUCAUUCCUCAUGCUCUGCCAUGUUGUGCAGACAUAUGGGUCUGAGGUGAUCUUGUCAGACCCCAGUCCCUCAGGAGAGACACCCUUUUUUGAAACGUGGCUGCAGACGUGCAUGCCUGAAGAGGGCAAGACGCUGAACCCGGACCAUCCCUGCUUCAGGCCUGAGCCUGGAAAAGUGGAGAGCCUGGUGACCCUGUUGAACAACUCCUCAGAGAUGAAACUAGUUCAAGUGAAGUGGCAUGAAAUCUGCCUCAGCACUCCGGCAGCUAUCCUGGAAGUUCUGAAUGCGUGGGAGAAUGGCGUCCUCUCUGUGGAGGCUGUGCAGAAGAUCACAGACAACAUCAAGGGGAAGGUGUGCAGCAUGGCCAUCUGCGCAGUGGCCUGGCUGGUGGCCCACGUACGGAUGCUGGGGAGGGACGAGAGAGAGAAACCUCAGACGAUGAUCCGACAGCUCGUGACUCCAAAUUUUGCGGAAAACACCCUGCAGUUUUAUAACGAGCGUGUGAUCAUAAUGAGUUCCAUCAUGGAGCACAUGUGCGCCGAUGUUUUCCAACAAACGGGUGCCGUCCUGCGGGCCCCGGUCGAGGGCCAGGAGCCAAUCCCCUACCGCAACCUGCUGCCCGCUAAAGAACCAAUUCAUAAAGCCCUCAGUAAGCAGUUCCAGGUGGUGCUGCGCAAAGGCUGGGUGGACAGCCGGGCUCUGCAUCUGUUUGAGAGCCUCCUCAACAUGGGGGGGGUCUUCUGGUUCACCAACAACCUGAUCAAGGAGCUUCUGAAAGAGACACGUCAGGAGUGGGCCACGCGGGUGGUGGAGUUGCUCUACAGCAUCUUCUGUUUGGACACCCAUCAGAUCACCCUGACGCUGCUCGGUACCAUUUUACCCAACCUGCUCACUGACUCCGCCCACUGGCACAGCCUUUCAGACCCUCCUGGGAAGGCUUUGGCCAAGUUGUCUGUGUGGUGUGCGCUCAGCUCUUUCUCCUCUCACCACAAAGGCCCCCUCUCAGCACGGCAGAGAAAAAGGCAGAGAGAAGACAUAGAGGACUACAACAGCCUCUUUCCUCUGGACGAUACUCAGCCGUCCAAACUCAUGCGGCUGCUGAGCUCCAAUGAGGAUGAGCCUGCAGCUCUGUCCAGUCCAGCUUCGGAGACAAAUUCCCAGACAAGACGUUGCAUGACUCAGGAAAAACUUCAAGGCCCUUUACACUUUGCUGUCAAGACUGAAAGAGAUCGAUCGAUGAGCAGCUCCCUGUCUGCCUCCCAGCUUCACACGGUCAACAUGAGGGACCCUCUCAACAGAGUCCUGGGCAGCAGUAGCUCAACAGGUUGAGCGGGUUGUCCAGUAAUCGGAAGGUUGCAGGUUCGAUCCCGGCUCCGGACAGAGAAUUCUGCUGUUGUGUCCUUGGGCAAGACACUUAACCCACCUUGGGGUGGUCGGAGGGACUGGUGGCGCCUCUGUCAGUGCGCCCCAGGGCAGCUGUGGCUACAUUGUAGCCCAUCAACAUCAGUGUGUGAAUGUGUGUGUGAAUGAUACACUGUAGUGUAAAGGGUGUGGUCUGCUCUCUCUCCCCUCCCCCUCAGCCAACCUGUUCCUCCUGGUUUCCUCCAUCUUGGGCUCUAAGAUGGCCGGACCUCACACCCAAUUUGUGCAGAGUUUUCUGGAGGAAUGUGUCGACUGCCUAGAGCAGGGAAGCCGUGGGAGCAUCCUGCAGUUCAUGCCUUUCACAAUGGUCUCUGAGCUGGUGAAGCUGCCCGCUUUGGCCAAACCCAGAAUCAUCCUGGCUAUCACCGACCUGACUCUGCCUCUGGGGAGGAGAGUCGCUGCCAAAG